GGACCCUACUGCUAUCGGGGUGAGACUAAGCAAUGCAAGUCGCGCGUCUCAAGCUAUGGUGAGACGCGGCAAACGGCUCAGUAACACGUGGCCAACCUACCCUUAGGACGGGGACAACCCCGGGAAACUGGGGCCAAUCCCCGAUAGGCGAAGAGGCCUGGAAUGGUUCUCCGCUCAAAGGGCGUUGGGGACAUGCUUCCCAGCGUUGCCUGAGGAUGGGGCCGCGGCCGAUCAGGUUGUUGGUGAGGUAACGGCUCACCAAGCCUUUAACCGGUACGGGCCAUGAGAGUGGAAGCCCGGAGAUGGGCACUGAGACAAGGGCCCAGGCCCUACGGGGUGCAGCAUGCGCGAAACCUCCGCAAUGCGCGAAAGCGUGACGGGGUUACCCCGAGUGCCGUCCGCUGAGGAUGGCUUUUCUCCGGUGUAAGGAGCCAGAGGAAUAAGGGGAGGGCAAGACUGGUGUCAGCCGCCGCGGUAAUACCAGCUCCCCGAGUGGUAGGGACGAUUACUGAGCUUAAAGCGUCCGUAGCCGGCUUGGCAAGUCUUCCGUUAAAUCCAGCGACUCAAUCGCUGGGCCGCGAAAGAUACUGUCAGGCUAGGGGGCGGAAGAGGCCGACGGUAUUCCCGGAGUAGGGGUGAAAUCCUAUAAUCCCGGGAGGACCACCAGUGGCGAAGGCGGUCGGCUAGAACGCGCUCGACGGUGAGGGACGAAAGCUGGGGGAGCGAACCGGAUUAGAUACCCGGGUAGUCCCAGCUGUAAACGAUGCGGGCUAGGUGUUGGGGCGGCUACGAGCCGCUUCGGUGCCGCAGGGAAGCCGUUAAGCCCGCCGCUUGGGAAGUACGGCCGCAAGGCUGAAACUUAA
rnacentral:rRNA from 1 species